rnacentral:rRNA from 1 species
GACGAACGCUGGCGGCGUGCUUAACACAUGCAAGUCGAACGGAAAGGCCUGCUUUCCCUUGUGGAUUGCGGGUACUCGAGUGGCGAACGGGUGAGUAACACGUGAGUGAUCUGCCCCCAACUUGGGUAUAAGCCUGGGAAACUGGGUCUAAUUCCCGAUAGGACUGCAGGGUGGUGCCUGUGGUGGAAAACGAUUUUCUAGUGGUUGGGGAUGAGCUCGCGGCCUAUCAGCUUGUUGGUGGGGUAAUGGCCUACCAAGGCGGCGACGGGUAGCCGGCCUGGGAGGGUGGACGGCCACAUUGGGACUGAGAUACUGCCCAGACUCCUACGGGAGGCAGCAGUGGGGAAUAUUGCACAAUGAGCGGAAGCCUGAUGCAGCGACGCCGCGUGGGGGAUGACGGGCUUCGGGUUGUAAACUCCUUUCGACCGCGAGGAAGCCACCUGGUUGGAAGGGGGGUGACGGUAGUGGUAGAAGAAGCACCGGCUAACUACGUG